CCGCCAUUAGCUCAUCGGGAUAGAGCGCAGCCUUCGAAGCUGGUUGCGCGGGGUUCGAGUUCUCGAUGGCGGUCCA
rnacentral:tRNA from 1 species